AGCCCGGUAGUGUAGCGGUCAAUCAUGGCGGGCUCUGGACCCGCUGACGGGAGUUCGAAUCUCCCCCGGGCUACCA
rnacentral:tRNA from 2 species